rnacentral:lncRNA from 1 species
GUACAAGUUGUAGCGCAUAUACCAUAUUCAGUCAGUUCGCAGCUUUCACUCAGCAGGUGAAGAAUCCUUUUGAUUCAAGAGCUCGAGUCAGUUAUGCAGUUUGAGAAGUAUUGUAUUUUCUUUAAUCAGUCAUAUUGAGUUGGGAUAGUUGGGAGUCAUGACCCAGCUACCUAUAGUCAGUACUAGUAGAGGCUUCAUAGACAGUCAGUAGUGUUAAUGUAUUUAAUUUCAAUUUUGUUGUAAAAGC